UACGUAGGUGGCAAGCGUUGUCCGGAUUUACUGGGCGUAAAGAGCGCGCAGGCGGUCGUUCAAGUCGCGUGUGAAAGCCCCCGGCUCAACUGGGGAGGGUCACGCGAUACUGAUCGACUCGAAGGCAGGAGAGGGUAGUGGAAUUCCCGGUGUAGUGGUGAAAUGCGUAGAUAUCGGGAGGAACACCAGUGGCGAAGGCGGUUCUCUGGGAAUGUUCUGACGCUGAGGAGCGAAAGUGUGGGGAGCGAACAGG
rnacentral:rRNA from 1 species